ACGCUGGCGGCGUGCCUAAUACAUGCAAGUCGAGCGAAGUUUUUCUGGUGCUUGCACUAGAAAAACUUAGCGGCGAACGGGUGAGUAACACGUAAAGAACCUGCCUCAUAGACUGGGACAACUAUUGGAAACGAUAGCUAAUACCGGAUAAUAGCAUUAGCUGCAUGGUUGAUGUUUGAAAGUUGGUUUUGCUAACACUAUGAGAUGGCUUUGCGGUGCAUUAGCUAGUUGGUGGGGUAAAGGCCUACCAAGGCGACGAUGCAUAGCCGACCUGAGAGGGUGAUCGGCCACACUGGGACUGAGACACGGCCCAGACUCCUACGGGAGGCAGCAGUAGGGAAUCUUCCGCAAUGGGCGAAAGCCUGACGGAGCAACGCCGCGUGAGUGAAGAAGGAUUUCGGUUCGUAAAGCUCUGUUGUUAGGGAAGAAUGAUUAUGUAGUAACUAUACAUAGUAGAGACGGUACCUAACCAGAAAGCCACGGCUAACUACGUGCCAGCAGCCGCGGUAAUACGUAGGUGGCAAGCGUUGUCCGGAAUUAUUGGGCGUAAAGCGCGCGCAGGUGGUUUAAUAAGUCUGAUGUGAAAGCCCACGGCUCAACCGUGGAGGGUCAUUGGAAACUGUUAAACUUGAGUGCAGGAGAGAAAAGUGGAAUUCCUAGUGUAGCGGUGAAAUGCGUAGAGAUUAGGAGGAACACCAGUGGCGAAGGCGGCUUUUUGGCCUGUAACUGACACUGAGGCGCGAAAGCGUGGGGAGCAAACAGGAUUAGAUACCCUGGUAGUCCACGCCGUAAACGAUGAGUGCUAAGUGUUGGUCUCAUAAGAGAUCAGUGCUGCAGCUAACGCAUUAAGCACUCCGCCUGGGGAGUACGACCGCAAGGUUGAAACUCAAAGGAAUUGACGGGGACCCGC
rnacentral:rRNA from 1 species